rnacentral:rRNA from 1 species
UACGUAGGGGGCAAGCGUUGUCCGGAAUCAUUGGGCGUAAAGCGCGUGUAGGCGGCUCGGUAAGUCUGCUCUGAAAGCCUGGGGCUCAACCCUGGGAGGCGGGUGGAUACUGCUGGGCUCGAGUCCGGAAGAGGCGAGUGGAAUUCCUGGUGUAGCGGUGAAAUGCGCAGAUAUCAGGAGGAACACCAAUGGCGAAGGCAGCUCGCUGGGACGGUACUGACGCUGAGACGCGAAAGCGUGGGGAGCAAACAGG